ensembl:lncRNA
UUGCAAUUGCUGCUUUGGAGCUCUCCUUGAAUCACUGUCUUUUGCUCUGGCUAUAGAUCCUGAUGUGCUUUGUAAAUGGAAAUUCAGAAGGGAGCUGACUUUCGAGAUCAACAGAUCAAACAUACAGCUAGGACUUUCAGUCCAUUGAACUAUAAUGCAUAUGAAGACUCGACUACAAAUGUGUUGCUUGAAGAGGUCAUUCUUGAUAGAGUGAGCCAGUUCCUCGUGGUAUAAGUUGGCAGCAUGUCAUAAAAGUCAGUGCCUUGAAGUCAAUGGAUCUUUCCAUCAUAUAUAUGAAUUCUGCCUUAUGCCUAGCAUGUGACACACCCUUGGAAGAAGAGAUCGCAUGAAAAGUAAUGAAGGUGUUGAUUCAAGUUACUACUGAAGAGUGGUAGAAAAUUGGCCCACCUGUAGGGGAUGAAGAAUCAGGAACAGGAUGAACGAUGUGGUUAUUGGGAGGAUAAGAAAAAUAAUAAAGACAAAGACCAUUUGGAAACACCCACACAUAGACAGUGGACAAAGGAAGAAAGAAAACAAAAACCAUGAAGAGAUUCAUGGUGGGGAAUCACCUGUAUCUAUCCAGUCUUCACUGAGAAAGCACACAGAAGUUAUUUCACCUGUUGACCUCCAAAAAAAAAAAAAAGGGAAGCAACUGCAGGCAAAGGAAAAGUUUGGAGCCUGGGGAAGUGUAAGAAAGAAAAACAAGUACAAAACAAAGCAUGACAAACUGCAGACUAUGGUUGCAUGUGCUUCCAGGCUCAGUGUGUCUCAUUGGAAAAAAAGAGUACUGCGUAGUGAAUUACAUGGAUGUGGGACUUCAGUCUUUAUUAUUUACACCAACUUAAAUCACACUUGUGGCUUUUUUUCUGCUGAAGGAAAUAUGUAACAAAGUGAAUAAGAUAAGAAUUCCUUAAGAGAAGAAAGACUGCCAUAUCAUUCUGUGACUCCUCAGAAUAUUUCAUUACUAAGUGCCUUUGGUCUGUGAAGUUUGUAAGCACUACAUUUGCAGUGCUAAGGCUUAUCCAGCUAGUCGUGGUUUGCAGCAGCAGGUUUCUCCUCAUUUGCUCUUCCAAAGAACUUCUGAAGAUAUCCUAAUUCAGACUACACACCACUUAAACCGUAGUACAGGACAAAUCACUACAAAUUUGUUCUACUGGGUAGCAAUUUCAACUGAAGCUCAUAGUCAAACACUAUAUACAAAUGCAAUUAUUCAGUACAGUCAAGGGAUGAUGACCUUAUGAUCAAACUACAUACCAACAGAAAUAUGCUGUCUCUGAAUCUUUAGCUAGUGCCACUUCUUUAUAUUGAGAUAAGUUUAUGGUCGCAGAAAAGUUGAUCUUUACGCAAUCCUUUCUCCACUGGUCCAGUGAACCGAACCUACCUUCUGGAGCCUGUAAUUAUGGGUCCUAAUGCUUUUCAUUCUCAGGCAUUCUCCAGUGUCCUCAGAGACUAUCAGGCUCUGGUUCUGCACCAAUGCUUCUCAAAACCUUUAGGACACAUUGAAAUUAUGUCCAAAUCCAAAAGAAAUGACUGAUGUGGCUCAAAGGUUGACAGUGCUAGGGUUACGCAACUGAAUUCUUACAGCUCUUUGGUUUGAUGCCACUAGGAAAAGACAAACAUCCAGAUUUGAUGUCUUUUGAUGCCCAGAGUUGAUGUCUUUUGAUGUCUUUUUAACUGCCACAGUUGGUCAAUCUUAAUUUCAUUGACAGAAGUGCAAAGUGAGACUGUAUUUAAGAGCUGCACUAUAGCUGUUCUGAUUUACACCAGUAUCAGUGAGAUUUAAGGAAUGAUCUUUCACAUUGUUGAGCUACAGGAUGCUUCAUGUUAGCUGUCUAGAUAACGAAAAAUAUCAUGGUUUUCCUGAAUGAAAACAUACCAGUUGAGGAACUUGUCCUUACACCUCGCCACUGCUCAACGUAAGAAAACAAAUCACAUUUGUGGAAUGUUUGUGAUUCACCCCAUAUCAACAAUGUUAACAUGGAGCUACAAAGCACUAGAUUUUGUAGAUGGGUAUUAAAAAAAGCAGGAGGCCUUUGGACAACUUUUUAGUUAAGUGCUUUGCCCAGUGACAGGUGCUUUUGCAAUCACCCCUUCUCCUCACCUUACGGUCUACCACAGUAUGUAUCAGAGAUCUCUGGGAAGGGAAACUAUCACACCUAAUGCAUUUGGACAAGUCUAGCAUGUGUGCAAAUUAAUAAGAAUGGCUUAUUCUAUUCUUUAUUUUGUUUUGCAAGGGUUGCCUUGCAUUUUUGCAACCUGCACAUCUGCUUCCCUGCUCUAACUAAUGAUAAUGGAUCUAGCAGAAUGCAAAGAACACAAUAUUCCCUCAAGUGCAUUUUUUUUUUUUUUUAUGGGGGAAUCUCCUACUGAAAGAUAGAAACCUAAAUCAACUUCUUAAAAUAGAGAAUAGAUUCAUUAUUAAAUUCUCCUCUUCAGACACUGGAGGAAUCCACAAAUGCAACACAGGAAAGGAACUGAGAGUUGGAAAGAGCACUGCAAGUAAUCCUUUGCAAAACUCGUGGUUAAACUGUGAGAAGAAAAUUUCUGAUUUAAGAAUAUGUAUUUUUGCCUCUAGUAUAAAAUAAAAAUAAAAUAAUAAAAAAUAAAAAAUAAAAUAAACAGCAAAUAUUAAACACCUCAUAGUAACAGUUGCCUGGCAUACUGCAUGACAGUUAACUCUGUAAGAAGGGCACAUCUUGACUUCAUUUUGUCUUCUAACUUUGCCUUUCUCUUCUAAAGUAGUCUUUAAACAUUUUUAUCUAAACUAUACAAAGCAAAAAAGGAAAAGCUGUAGUAAUGCACUGCUGAAUAAAAAACAAACAAAAAACCAAACAACAUUCAAAUACUUCUACUAUCCUGUUUCAAUGACCUUUAUGAAUAAAGGAAUGACUGUAUUAAUAAAAGUUCCCAUAGAACAUUUUUUUGCAAGUCUUUACAUGAGAUUGUAUCAGUAACCAGAUUUAUAGACCAGUCUCUGGCUGCAAACACACUGUGCAUCCUUUCUACAUGAAGAACAAAUUCCCUCUCUUUUUACACUAGCACAAAACACUGGCACUCAGCAGCACAGUAGCAGCAAAUGCAGAUGUUGUGUGAUAAUGAACAUAGAUAAAGCAGAAUCUCCACAGAAAAGCAAUAUUACAAGUGCAGCUGGUGAUGCUGCUCAUCAGCUGUCUGUUCAGAAGUAGUGCAGAACUUGUACUUUGAUCCCGGAAGCUGCCAAGACUUUUGCAUGGGGUUCAACGCCGCUCAGUUUUGACACUGAGAACAGAAACAUUAUUUUGAUGUCUUUCCACGUUUUUGGUAAGGACUCUCUACAAAGCCUGAUACAGAACAUACGUGUUAAAUCUUUACACAUCUUGUGCAGGUACUCCUACAAAGCACCUUUUUCCUGCUCUCUAUCCAGUACAGUAACAUCUAAUGUCUUAAAGAUGAAAAAGAAUCCAAAUAAGACAUUAUUUAUUUUUUUCUGUGAUAUCUUCCCUUUGGGAAAAGAGAUUGCUCGUGUUCAGCUCUGUCUAUGAGCUAAUGCUAGACUUCAAACCACCCUCACCUCAAUUGUAGCAUUUAUUAACUUUACAUAUAAGGUUUAUGACUUCUAGAUUAGUAAAUUAUGUAGUAAGGCCUUGUAAUAGAUUUAAUUGUGUUAAUUUUAGUUGAAUUAUAUGGUGUGUUGAUUCUGUGAAGAACUCUGUUGCGCAAACCACGAAGUAAAGAUGCUAUUAAGUUUUUAAGAGCCUAUUCCAAACAUUGCUGUGCUUAUGAAUCAGCAAGUAUUCCUGCACAGCACUGAGUACCAAAAUCUACCCUGCGUGAAGAUGGUGAGUAUGGUCACAUCCAUGCAGACAGAAAAGUUCAUUAUUUCACAAUUGGUGUAUAUUAAUUUAAUAAAAAGGUCACAUUGAAAUUCCCAAGAUUCCAGUUCUCAACUACACAGAUCUUUUGCUAUAACUGGAAUUACUGGAGGAACACUGCAAUUUUCCAUCAGAUGAAACAAUGAGUAUUGACUUUUAAUAAGCUGUUGAAUAUUUCAGCACUUCUGAAAUAUGAACUCAACAGCUUAUAGGAUCAGUGCUCCUGUUUGCAAUUUGCUGUCAGAUACAAAGGGAUUGUUCUAAUAUGUUUGGUAUUACCAUCAGCUAAUCCUUUUCUGAUUUCUGUAUGUCACAAGAAAGUGAAAUAAAACUAUGGGAUGUUGUUUUAUGAGCAAUGCAAUAAUAAAGACCCAAAUAAGGCUUUUCUUAAAACCAACUUAGCCUUCAAAUAGCAGCUUAAGGAAUGCUCUCUGGAAUCUAACCUAUAAUGACUCAAGACCCAGUUUUCCCAGGAAAAGGUUUGAAUCAGUGUAUCAGCAUUAAACCUUUAGGCUAGGAUUCAGAAUGUACUUUCUCUUUUUACUGUAUAUGUAUAGGAUGUUUUUAGCUUAGUGCAUUAAUAGGACAACACAAUAAAGGAGGAUUAUGAUCCUUGUUCCGUAUUUUGCUCAAAAUUUAUAGGAUAUUUGGAAAAGAACAAUUUUGAUUUCCUAAUUCCUACUAAUAAAGGAGAAACAUGAGGUCCAUUUUGGAUUUUAUUUAGCUUAACAAUAAUAAUAAGGAUAAUAUUCAAAAUAAUGGCUUAAAUUUAGGAGCCCAAAAUGUUGUUCAAUUCUCAAAAUAAACUCUGCAUUUUGUGAAGCAUCUCCACAUGCAAUAAAGAAGUCAAUGGCAUGACAAAAACUUAAAACUGAAGUUUUACUGUAAAAGUGAAAAAGAAGCGUUUUUAGCUCACUUUGUUAACACCUCUGGCUGACGUUCAGCUGACAUGCUGGAGGACACAGCCAGCAGUGCUUUGGUAGUGGUAUCAGAUUAGCGUGCAAUUCAUGCUGCUGUCUCGUACAUCUAUUAGACUGAGAGUACUGGAAAUUUCAGAGUCACGUUGUUUGAACUGUACCCUCUAACUGAAAGAAAUCAAGCCAGAAAAUAAAGGAGAUGGCUUGCAAAAUGAAAUUCUCAGGAAAAAAAGAAGUGCAUUCUGAGCAAGUCAAACUCUUUAAUUUUAGGUUAGAUUGCUCGCGCCUCACCUGACUGUAGGAAAUUUGAAAACACCGACACACAUUAUGAAAUAGAAAAAUAUUUGGCCAAAACAGACCUUGCUCAGAGGUCACAUCUUACUGUGCUUUGGUAAAUCUUGGACAAAUUACAGGUUUUCUGAUGAAAACAAUUUCAGCUGGAAAAUUUCUACCUAGGUUCACUGAGCUGCUGCUUCUUUCCACCUUUUUUUGGCAGAAUGAACACCAGACAAUAGCUAUAAUAGCUAUAAUAGUUUGGCCUUCUGGACAUUCAUAUACCACACAGCAUUUACUAUGUUUUGUUGCUUAUUAUAGCCAAAGUAUAACUCCUUUGGAUUUGGAUCAAUCAUUUGGCCUUUCUUCCUCAGAGUUAUGAAACUUCUCCCUUGAUUGCUAACUUCAGGACUUUAGGGAAUGGAUAGACAUGAGUGGCAACAGCAGCAAGUGGUGCUCAGUAUUAGUGGGAAAAUAAGGCUCAGGGAAACCAUAAAACACAAAUAAAUACCUGGCAAUAAAGAGACAACACAGUAUAGAAGAUGAAAAUGAUUUCUUAGUGAAAUGGAUCUUGAAGCAUGAGCCUGGUACUAAGGCACAGUGUUUGGUAGGGAGAGUAAAUUAAAUUUUACUUUUAAAUUUUAGUCCAUGCAUCUUUAAAGAAAAAAAGAAAAAAAGAAGUGCAGAUAAAACAGGCAUCAGCCAUUAUAAAACAUGGAACAAGACGGUCUUUUAAACAACAGGCUUUCACAAACCCAUAUUUUAAUGUGGCUUGUCCUGGGAUAAUAUAGUAUAUCAGUGGUUCUCAGAUUCUUUCACAGCACAGAUCAUCUUUUAGGCAAAACUGCCUAAACUGUCUUGGACCCCUCACCCUUGCAAUGACAUUCCUAACCAGACCUGCACACACCCUACUAGCAAUCAACCUAUGAGUGCAUAUGCACAGACUCACAUAAAACAUUGAUCAGCAACAAAAGAAAAUUACUCUCUUACCUCAUGAGUCCAGGCAUUUUCUUGGGACUCCUGCUUCACUUUUCUAUAGCUUUUGCCUGCAAAAACGGCAGCAUCAUCCCCAUGGUUCAGCCUUGCAGAUGCCAUCUGUGGUGUCCUGUAAUCACUGAAGGGCUCCUACAGUUCCUGGGAUGGAGCAGAGCAGCAGUUAGGACAGCAUUCCUGGUGGCUGAACUGCACACCUGAGCCCCUGCUCAGCAACAGGCUGAGAGCCGCCGGAACUCUGCGACUCAGUGACCAGAAAGAGCCAGCUACAAACCCCAUUUCUGACAGUAAAGGCUUAUUCUGUUCUUCCUUGGUUUUAAACAUGUAAUUCAAUGUAGCAAUUAAUUAAUUCUUUAAGUAAUUAAUUACUAACUGCUAAGGAAUUAUUGUAACGCUGUAUGUAGAAGUAAUAAAAUUACUUAAGGGUUUCAGAAAAUUCUUCAAGAAAGCAAUUAUUAGUAGUUGUAGUCAAAAUUAUUUGUUAUAUUAAUUACCAGUAAUCUCUGCCUAGGCAUAAUUAGACAAAGUAAUCUUACAGUGGUGCAACAUAAUUAUGUCACUAAUGAGAGAAAUAACAGAUUAUUUUACAUAAAUUUGUCAUAUUAUAUGCUUAAGAGCUUGCUGAAGAACUGAAGAACAAAGCAAGGAAUUAAAGAGCAAACACACACAAAGUUUGGGAACAAGUUCUCACAGCAGCGGCAUAUUAAGGCAGGUCUUAAAAUCUAUUACUCCUUGUUAACAACUUAUAGAUAUGAACUGAACUUCCGCCCUGAGUAAAAUCUGGUUUCAUAUCUCAGUUCAUAGCUUUUCAGUAGAUCUCGACUCCUGUGCAAAUAAAUCUCACUCAGUCAAAUUCUUUGGGAAUGUCUCUUUCAUGCAUAACCACGUAAAUCCAACAGGAAUGAUUCAAUGGGAAAAAUAAGAAAAUCACUAUUUUGUAUUUGUAAUUGACAAAUCUCUUACUUUUUCCACUAGCAUUAAUGUCAGUCAGACCCAUUUCUGCACAAUGUAAGCAUGGGUUAUUAAUAAUCCAACAUUUGAGAUAUCCCGCCACAGCUUCUUUGCAGUCGGUCCUUUUCACCUGUACCUUUUAAUAAGGUCUAAGCACAUGCUUGACAACAAAUGUAUGUUCAAGGGAGUUUCUGAAUUUGAGCACAAAUUAAUAAGGAAAAAGGUAAUAAGCAUAAAAUAUUAACUAGUUAUACAGAACACUUCUCUUUGAAACAACCAAAGAGGAAACUUCUUCCUUUUCUUCUUUUUUUUUUAAUACCAAAAUGCGACCAUUGAUCAUAGAAGAGAAGGUAUUUUACUGAAAACUUUUAACAACUCCAUUUUUGGGUGGGAGGGCGAAGGGGAGAGAAAGUGAAGAGAGAGGGAGAGAUGUUUCACAUUUUCAAGUUAGAUAUUCUUCCAGCAGUGAAUGAAAAUAUUUCUGACAAGUGCUUUUAGAUAGCUACAUCUUUAUUUAUGUAUCAAAACUAUAUACGUAUUUAUACAGUUAUAUAUCGUUUAGACAAAGGCUAUGCUUUUGGUCUUCUUGUGUGCUUUUCUGAUGUAUGGCGUGUCAUUAUUGCACAGCGUACCAUCAGUAAUCAGAUAAUUUAAUAAGCACAACUAAACCACAGUAGAGAGAUGAGUUAGGUUUUUUAUUUACCGCCUGUAGUGGUACUAGUUGGAUGAGAAGUCACUGACAAGAAUUAUGAAAUAGAAAACCGACAUAUUUCUAAGGAACUGGCUUUUAUUUGUAUCAUGUAUUACUGCAAUUACUCGCCAGGGUGUUCUGACAGAUGCUGUAGCUUUUCUGCUGAGGAAUGCAACAGUAACCCAUGAAUACUCAGAGUUUAUGUCAGUAGCUCUCACUCGCUGUUUCCACACUACAUGUUAAGGCAAUCCUCAAGGCAAGCUGUACAGGAAGGAAAAAAAUCUUGAGGUGUGGCUGGCUCCUGCAGACAGCUGCUGGUAUGGUUUUCUAUGCGUCUGCAAGCAUCUCAUCUAAAUAAAGGCCACCUCUUUCUGCAGUCGUUGCCUUGCAGUGGAAGGAUUCAAAUUAGCUUUUGUGCAGAGUGAGGUGCAUUGCUUCACUGAUUAAAUUACUCUCAUGGCUUUACUCUGUAAAAUGUUUUAGUACGUUUUCAAAGGGCUGGUACAUACAGAAGAUUGCAAUGUAAUUUCCCUUUUCCCAAAACCUUUGUGUUUAUGAUAAAUACUUUCCAUGACUGCUAAACCAGCUGGUAGACCUAUAAAUAAGAAGUAAUGUAGAUAAUUAAAUUUUAGGAGGAUGCCACCUGCAAAGUUCUUCCUAAAUAGCUGAAUUUCUAGAAUGCAUUAUAUCUUCCUACCCAGUUUGUUCAAAAAAUCAGAACCCUGCACAUACUUGGCUUGCCUCCUUCAAGCUACUCAGAGCAGUAGCACUCAUUGGAGACCUAACCUACUUUUUUUUACUAGAAUCUGAGGCAAAAUUCUCAUUCAUAUAAUCAGAAGUCUGAAAAUAAUGAUCGCUUCUCUCUUAAAACAAAAAAAUGAACAACACUCCAAUUGCUUCCAGUUUUUAGGCUCCUUAUAGCUCUCAAAGCUCAUUUUUGUAAGAGUGUCUUGUUGGAAAUGAGUAUUUAAAGCUAUUUUUAAAUGAUAACUCACUAUUAAAAUGCAGUGCUAUUGUGUGUUUGAGGUCUUGAUUUUGACCCCACACAUUUGGUGCUAAUGACAAAUCCCUUUUUAAAUGAAGUUUUAAAAUCAAGCAAAUCUCAUUAGGCUCUUUUAUCACCUUUUUACAUUGUAUCAACAUCCUCACUGUCCUGGAUCGUAAGUCUUACGCAAAGUAAAAAUGCCGUAUUAAAAAUGUACUUUUAAUUCCAAAGUAUGCAUUGCACCACCAUUUACUGUAGUAACACUGUAGUAACAAACAGCACUGAUGAUGCAACACUGUAUUUCAACAUGUUUUACAGCAGCAGGGUGUUAUUCUAAAGAUUGUACCGUAGUUGGAACAAAUAUUACCAAAUUUAAGACAGAUUUAUUGUGUUUGUUGACCUGCUUGGGCCAGGAAACAGAGGAUUGGGACCAUCCCUCAAGUUUCAACACACUGUAAAAGGAGGAACCAAGACAGGAAAGCAUUUCAGUCCUUUACAAAUUCUUCCAUCUGUGUCUACAGCUCUUGAGAAAUUAUCUGCUGACGCUCAUUUGGAAAUGGAAACCUGGGCCAAACCGUGCGCAGUAUUUUAGCAGACACUGUGCUGCUCUGAAUGACUAAGGGCAAACACUGCAGGGCAGGGCAGAGCAGCACCCAGCCUCUCUGCCACUCGUUCCAGAUGCAGAGAGCAAGGAGGCUACAUGAAGGACCGAAGGACCUCAUUUUGCCCUAUUGUCAUAAGGCCACAGGUAAUGGUCUGACUCCUCAGUUUAUUUUCAGCAGAGAUAAUCUCAGGUUAGGGACAAAUCAGUUACUGUGAGCAGUGAAAUCUGUACGUCUGUUGGAAAAUAAAAAUGCAGACCAGACUCAUUUGGUGAAAUGCUGAGCUGCAGGAACAACUGGUCACUGCUUUCCUUGUUUGCCACAGUCACAGACACUCCGUGACGUGGAGGAAAACCACUGAUAAUAUUCUCAGUAGAAUGCAAAACAGUAGAGGAGAACUCACACUUCCAAGAGUAGAUUCUUACAUCAGCAGCCCAGUUCUGGACUCUGUGGCUCCGGCUUGUGGAGACAUGGGGUUUCCAAGAAGCACCUGGAUUUCUAACCUGCCUGUCAGUAUCUCUAAUGAAGAAAUUUUGUUUCCAUUUGUACCAGUGCAUUCCCACUGAGUUCGGCAGACUUUCUCUGGAAAUAGCUGAUUUUCACAUAAUAUUGCAUUACAUACAGAAUGGCUGUAUCUCAUCCUAUGUACACUUGCCAUCCAGAUUAUAAAAUAAAUGCUUAACUUCUGC